rnacentral:rRNA from 1 species
CCGUCUUGAAACACGGACCAAGGAGUCUAACAUGUGCGCGAGUCAUUGGGUCAGACUAAACCUAAAGGCGCAAUGAAAGUGAAGGCAGCCUCGGGUUUGUCUAGGUAGGAUCCUCUUCCAAGAGGAGGCGCACUACCGGCCCGUCUCGUCCGCGUUGCGGUGAGGCGGAGCGAGAGCGUACACGUUGGGACCCGAAAGAUGGUGAACUAUGCCUGAGUAGGACGAAGCCAGAGGAAACUCUGGUGGAAGUCCGUAGCGAUUCUGACGUGCAAAUCGAUCGUCGAACUUGGGUAUAGGGGCGAAAGACUAAUCGAACCGUCUAGUAGCUGGUUCCUUCCGAA